rnacentral:rRNA from 1 species
CCUACGGGAGGCAGCAGUGGGGAAUAUUGCACAAUGGGGGAAACCCUGAUGCAGCGAAGCCGCGUGAGUGAAGAAGGAUCUCGGGAUGUAAAGCUCUAUCAGCAGGGAAGAAGAAAGACGGUAGUUGACUAAGUAGCCACGACUAACUACGUGCCAGCAGCCGAGGUAAGACGUAGGAGGCGAGCCUUAACCGGAUUUACUGGGUGUAAAGGGAGCGUAGACGGCUGUGCAAGUCGGAAGUGAAAGCCCAGGGCUCAACCCUGGUACUGCUUUGGAAACUGUGUACCUAGAGUGCUGGAGAGGUAAGUGGAAUUCGUGGUGUAGCGGUGAAAUGCGUAGAUAUUACGAAGAACACCAGUGGCGAAGGCGGCUUACUGGACAGUAACUGACGUUGAGGCUCGAAAGCGUGGGGAGCAAACAGGAUUAGAUACCCUUGUAGUC